UACAGUAGAUGAAUCACUAAUACUACUUUUGCUCUGCGUAUCUUUAAAUUUUCAGAUGAAAGUGUAGAUGCCAAGGAAGUAUCAUCACUUUCCCUGCUCGCUUCGUCCUCAUAAUUCCUUGCAGGUUUUGGCAUUGUAUUGUUAGUUUCAAGAAUCGAGUAGUAAUGGAAGGCUGUGACCUCUCUAAUGUCUCAGUCGUGGAUAAUGCUCUCUCGCUCCAAAACAAAAUUGCUGCAAUUCGCAGGGCUGGUCCUUCCAAGCUACAGGUAAUUGCGGAUUUUGAUGGAACACUAACCAAGUACAUGGUGAACGGCCGCCGCGGCCAAAGCAGUCAUGGCCUUUUGCGGCAGGAAAAUCCUGAGUUUGAUGCUAAGAGGAAGGCAUUGUAUGAAUACUAUCAUCCUUUAGAAUUUUCCCCAACUAUUCCCAUCCAGGAGAAAACCAAGCUCAUGGAAGAAUGGUGGGGAAAAACUCAUAAUCUUCUUAUUGAGGGAGGCCUUACAUAUGAUGCAAUUAGGGAAUCUGUUGCUAAUUCUGCUAUUACUUUUAGGGAGGGUGUCGUUGAACUAUUUGAGUUUCUGGAGGAAAGGGACAUUCCUGUUCUUAUAUUUUCAGCAGGGCUUGCAGAUAUCAUAGAGGAGGUCUUGAGGCAGAAAGUUCACAGAUCUUUUAGAAAUGUCAAGAUUGUCUCUAACCGAAUGAUAUUUGAUGAUGAUGGUCGACUCAUUUCAUUUAAAGGGAAGUUGAUUCAUAGUCUAAAUAAAAAUGAACAUGCUCUUGAUAUGGCUGCUCCUGUUCAUGAACAUCUUGGUGAUGUUGAUGGGGUAAUCGAUGACAGUGCCUCAGUGAAGAAGAGAACCAAUGUACUGCUUCUUGGUGAUCACCUGGGUGACUUGGGAAUGUCUGAUGGUUUGGACUAUGAGACUUCAAUUUCUGUGGGGUUUCUUAAAAUAGCAUUGGACAUCUAUUGACAAUGGGUAUUAAGAUGUGGUGAAGCCGUUGUAUUUGUCAUAUAGGGUUACCAUGAACAGCAAGUGAUGGUUGUUGCAUUAGUAGUUUGUGAGAUGUACCGAGGCUAGAUUCUGGAAUGAUUUUUGAAUACAAAUUGUAGAAUGACAAUAUUGAGAACAAUCUUGCUAGCUAUCGCAAAGCCUUUGAUGUUGUUUAUCUGGUGAUACUCGUAAGCUAGACUAGAAAAAAUAUGAUAUUUGAUAUUUCGCAAAGUUAAUUAAUCCAUCUAUGUAUCAAUUUUGAUCAUGAGGACAUCCUCUAACUAGGUAAAGUUUGCAUGAGAGCAUAGUUUUGGUAGAGAUAAGUGGUGGUGAGUUUGACAUAUUUUAGGUGAAAACUUACCUCCUUAUUUAUGAUUAUUUUACUGAUAUCAAGAUAAAUUGUUUCAAACAGAAUGAUGCACCAAUGUGGGGUGUAGUCAAGCUUGCUUCUGAGCUGUGUUCAACUGAAUCUGCCUGAGUUCCUGUCAAUAAAUGGUAAAAAGUUUCAGCAAGUCUCCAGCUUUGGUCAAGUAAGAUCAUGAGCUGCACAGAUAACCUGAUCUUUCUCCUGGAAGUGCCUGCAUUCCACAUAAUUCACACAUAUAACUCUCAUAUCUUAAGGUCGAGCAAUGGCAGUGGAUUGUGCUCAUUGCUUUAUUUAAAUAUCCAAGAUAAUAUAUAUGUAGCUCAUUUAAGCCUGUGGAAAUUAGAUUAUAAUAUAUGGCAAUGUAUGUUAUAGACCUAUUUAUUAAAGGUGGAAUUUAUUCAUUUAUAUGUUUUGACCAAA